UACCAGCACCCCGAGCGCUCGGCACGAUUAUUGGGCCUAAAGCAUCCGUAGCCGGUUCUACAAGUCUUCCGUUAAAUCCACCUGCUUAACAGAUGGGCUGCGGAGGAUACUAUGGAGCUAGGAGGCGGGAGAGGCAAGCGGUACUCAGUGGGUAGGGGUAAAAUCCGUUGAUCCAUUGAAGACCACCAGUGGCGAAGGCGGCUUGCCAGAAUGCGCUCGACGGUGAGGGAUGAAAGCUGGGGGAGCAAACCGG
rnacentral:rRNA from 1 species